AACCAAGGUGAGGGCAAAGAGGACGGUAAGGGAGAAAGAAAGAAAGAAGGGAAGAUCCCCAGAGACGUGAAGAUGCAUGGAAUAACACGUGAAGAGAGGAAACUUCGGGCCUGUGGUCAAAAUGUGUUCACCACGGCAGACAACUGCUUGGGUGACAGCUUUGGCCUCUGGAUGAAUUCUCCUUGGCGAGCAAUCGUCCCACCUGUAGGUGCCUUCAUGAUCGUCUGUGUGCAGGGCACCAAGCAGGCCAUCUAAAGCCACUAAUCUCAAAGAGAGCUUACCCAGGGACAGGACUUUCCAAAAGGAAAGGAGCACAAUAGAAGAGAAUGGCUGCUGCUAAGUUCCAUCCAACAGUGGCCUCUUUUGAAAAGUCGUCCUCAUCCACAGAUGGUCAACAUUAUGAUGGAAUUUUGUUUUCCUCUCAUGUGAAUUUGGAGCUGAUAGAUGCUUCUCAGCUCCUUGCUGGGACCUCACUGACAAACCCGCUGGCCCC
rnacentral:lncRNA from 1 species